AACGCACAUUGCGCCCGCCAGUAUUCUGGCGGGCAUGCCUGUUCGAGCGUCAUUUCAACCCUCAAGCCCCCGGGCUUGGUGUUGGGGAUCGGCACCGGACGGCGGCCCCCCGGGGCCCCCGCCCGCCGUCCCCCAAAUCCAGUGGCGGUCACGCCGCGGCCUCUUGCGCGUAGUAGCAACACCUCGCACCGGAGCCCGACGUGCCCACGCCGUAAAACCCCCGACUUUUAUUCAAGUUGACCUCGAAUCAGGUAGGACUACCCGCUGAACUUAA
rnacentral:misc_RNA from 1 species